UAGUGUUACAGCUUUUUUAGAAUUUGUCUAGCAGGCUUUCUGGUUUUCACCAUAAAAUGCCCCA
rnacentral:snRNA from 8 species